UGGGGAAUAUUGCACAAUGGGCGAAAGCCUGAUGCAGCAACGCCGCGUGAGUGAUGAAGGCCUUCGGGUUGUAAAGCUCUGUCUUUUGGGACGAUAAUGACGGUACCAAAGGAGGAAGCCACGGCUAACUACGUGCCAGCAGCCGCGGUAAUACGUAGGGUGCAAGCGUUAAUCGGAAUUACUGGGCGUAAAGCGUGCGUAGGCGGAUUUUUAAGUGAGAUGUGAAAUACCCGGGCUUAACUUGGGUGCUGCAUUUCAAACUGGGAAUCUAGAGUGCGGGAGAGGAGAAUGGAAUUCCUAGUGUAGCGGUGAAAUGCGUAGAGAUUAGGAAGAACACCAGUGGCGAAGGCGAUUCUCUGGACCGUAACUGACGCUGAGGCAUGAAAGCGUGGGUAGCAAACAGGAUUAGAUACCCUGGUAGUCCACGCCGUAAACGAUGAGUACUAGGUGUAGGAGGUAUCGACCCCUUCUGUGCCGCAGUUAACACAAUAAGUACUCCGCCUGGGAAGUACGAUCGCAAGA
rnacentral:rRNA from 1 species